rnacentral:tRNA from 2 species
UGCCCGAUCAUCUAAUGGCAGGAUACCGGUUUUUGGUACCGUUUGUCUAGGUUCGAAUCCUAGUCGGGCAA